rnacentral:rRNA from 1 species
GAGGAAUAUUGCGCAAUGGGGGAAACCCUGACGCAGCGACGCCGCGUGAGUGAGGAAGGUUUUCGGAUCGUAAAGCUCUGUCAGAAGGGAAGAAAUGCUAGGCAGUUAAUACCUG